rnacentral:rRNA from 1 species
GGCCAGACUCCUACGGGAGGCAGCAGUGGGGAAUAUUGCACAAUGGGGGAAACCCUGAUGCAGCGACGCCGCGUGAGUGAAGAAGUAUUUCGGUAUGUAAAGCUCUAUCAGCAGGGAAGAAGUUGACGGUACCUGAGUAAGAAGCACCGGCUAACUACGUGCCAGCAGCCGCGGUAAUACGUAGGGGGCAAGCGUUAUCCGGAUUUACUGGGUGUAAAGGGAGCGUAGACGGCAGUGCAAGUCUGAAGUGAAAGCCCCGGGCUUAACCCGGGAAUUGCUUUGGAAACUGUACGGCUGGAGUGCUGGAGAGGUAAGCGGAAUUCCUAGUGUAGCGGUGAAAUGCGUAGAUAUUAGGAGGAACACCAGUGGCGAAGGCGGCUUACUGGACAGUAACUGACGUUGAGGCUCGAAAGCGUGGGGAGCAAACAGGAUUAGAUACCCGAGUA